AACUUUCAGCAACGGAUCACUUGGCUCUGGCAUCGAUGAAGAACGCAGCGAAAUGCGAUAAGUAAUGCGAAUUGCAGAAUUCAGUGAAUCAUCGAAUCUAUGAACGCACAUUGCGCCCGCUAGUAUUCUGGCGGGCAUGCCUGUCUGAGCGUCAUUUCAACCCUCGCGCCCGGCUCCUGUCGGGUGCGGUGUUGGGGAUCGGCCUGCCGCCUGGCGGUGGGCCGUCCCUGAAAUGGAGUGGCGACCACGCCGUAGCCUCCUCUGCGUAGUAAUCCAAUUCUCGCAGGCGGACAGCGGUGCGGUCAUGCCGUAAAACACCCCAAACUUUACCAAGGUUGACCUCAGAUCAGGUAGGAAUACCCGCUGAACUUAAGCAUAUCAAUAAGCGGAGGCU
rnacentral:misc_RNA from 1 species